rnacentral:rRNA from 2 species
GAAUGCUGACAUAAGUAACGAUAAAGCGGGUGAAAAGCCCGCUCGCCGGAAGACCAAGGGUUCCUGUCCAACGUUAAUCGGGGCAGGGUGAGUCGACCCCUAAGGCGAGGCCGAAAGGCGUAGUCGAUGGGAAACGGGUUAAUAUUCCCGUACUUGGUGUUACUGCGAAGGGGGGACGGAGAAGGCUAUGUUGGCCGGGCGACGGUUGUCCCGGUUUAAGCGUGUAGGUGUGUGUUCCAGGUAAAUCCGGUUCACUUUAACACUGAGGCGUGACGACGAGGCACUACGGUGCUGAAGCAACAAAUGCCCUGCUUCCAGGAAAAGCCUCUAAGCAUCAGGUAACAUCAAAUCGUACCCCAAACCGACACAGGUGGUCAGGUAGAGAAUACCAAGGCGCUUGAGAGAACUCGGGUGAAGGAACUAGGCAAAAUGGUGCCGUAACUUCGGGAGAAGGCACGCUGACACGUAGGUGAAGUGAUUUACUCAUGGAGCUGAAGUCAGUCGAAGAUACCAGCUGGCUGCAACUGUUUAUUAAAAACACAGCACUGUGCAAACACGAAAGUGGACGUAUACGGUGUGACGCCUGCCCGGUGCCGGAAGGUUAAUUGAUGGGGUCAGCGCAAGCGAAGCUCCUGAUCGAAGCCCCGGUAAACGGCGGCCGUAACUAUAACGGUCCUAAGGUAGCGAAAUUCCUUGUCGGGUAAGUUCCGACCUGCACGAAUGGCGUAAUGAUGGCCAGGCUGUCUCCACCCGAGACUCAGUGAAAUUGAACUCGCUGUGAAGAUGCAGUGUACCCGCGGCAAGACGGAAAGACCCCGUGAACCUUUACUAUAGCUUGACACUGAACAUUGAGCCUUGAUGUGUAGGAUAGGUGGGAGGCUUUGAAGUGUGGACGCCAGUCUGCAUGGAGCCGACCUUGAAAUACCACCCUUUAAUGUUUGAUGUUCUAACGUGGACCCGUUACCCGGGUUGCGGACAGUGUCUGGUGGGUAGUUUGACUGGGGCGGUCUCCUCCUAAAGAGUAACGGAGGAGCACGAAGGUUGGCUAAUCCUGGUCGGACAUCAGGAGGUUAGUGCAAUGGCAUAAGCCAGCUUGACUGCGAGCGUGACGGCGCGAGCAGGUGCGAAAGCAGGUCAUAGUGAUCCGGUGGUUCUGAAUGGAAGGGCCAUCGCUCAACGGAUAAAAGGUACUCCGGGGAUAACAGGCUGAUACCGCCCAAGAGUUCAUAUCGACGGCGGUGUUUGGCACCUCGAUGUCGGCUCAUCACAUCCUGGGGCUGAAGUAGGUCCCAAGGGUAUGGCUGUUCGCCAUUUAAAGUGGUACGCGAGCUGGGUUUAGAACGUCGUGAGACAGUUCGGUCCCUAUCUGCCGUGGGCGCUGGAGAACUGAGGGGGGCUGCUCCUAGUACGAGAGGACCGGAGUGGACGCAUCACUGGUGUUCGGGUUGUCAUGCCAAUGGCACUGCCCGGUAGCUAAAUGCGGAAGAGAUAAGUGCUGAAAGCAUCUAAGCACGAAACUUGCCCCGAGAUGAGUUCUCCCUGAGACUUAGAGUCUCC